GGGACCUGCAAUCGUUGCGGCGCAACGAUCGCGAAAGA
rfam:Candidatus Rokubacteria bacterium 13_1_40CM_2_68_8 13_1_40cm_2_scaffold_1309, whole genome shotgun sequence.